UAUGACGAAGAGGACCAGGAGAGCGAUGUGAAGCAAAGGAACCAUGGCUUUGAUUAUGGAGUUCAACACGACCUGUAAACCUGCAGCACAAAGGCAGUGGCUAAGACCAUGAAGGAUCUCUGUUUAAAGACCUGACUGGCAUGCAGGUCAACCAAAGUGGAUUUCCUUCACAUGAUCAAUAUCAAGUCGAGCAGAUUCCAGCCGUUCCUCAGGUAGGCGUUGGGGUGGAAGAGCAGGCCGUAGGCUAUUACCUUGAGGAACGCCUCCACCGUGAAAAUGAUUAGGAACAGG